GCCUUUAGCAUAACAAGUAUUAAAGGUCCUGCCUGCCCAGUGAAACUUUUCAACGGCCGCGGUAUUCUAACCGUGCAAAGGUAGCGUAAUCAUUUGUCUUCUAAAUUAAGACCAGUAUGAAUGGCUAAAUGAGGAUAAAACUGUCUCCUGCAACCUAUCAGUGAAAUUGAUCUCCCAGUCCAAAAGCUGGGAUAUUUACAUAAGACGAGAAGACCCUGUGGAGCUUAAAACACACACGCUAAUACACAAACCACGUUCAUGGCAAGGGGGUUUAAGUUGGGGCGACUUCGGAAUAAAAAAAAACUUCCGAGCACAGGACCACAAUUUCUAACCAAGGUAAACAAACCAAGGCAAAAAUUGACCCAGUCAAACUGAUCAACGAACCAAGUUACCCCAGGGAUAACAGCGCCAUCUUCUUCAAGAGUCCAUAUCGACAAGAAGGUUUACGACCUCGAUGUUGGAUCAGGGCACCCAAAUGGUGCAACCGCUAUUAAAGGUUCGUUUGUUCAACGAUUAACAG
rnacentral:rRNA from 1 species